ACACGUGGCAGCUGCCUGCCCGCACGCUGCUCCCGUGCAUGGCCUCGGCAAACCCACCACGCCCAGCCCAGGCUACAGCUGCUGGAGCGUGGCUCCAUUCUAGCUGCUGACAAACAAAGGAGUGACUUGCUGUUAGUCCAGUGAGGAUUGCCAAAGGCAACAGGCUCUUAACACGGAGCUCGCUGGUCAGGGGCUGUUCCUGAGGCUGUGACAAAAUCCAGGGCAACUCAGGCCAAGGGGGUCCCGCUCCACACUCAGCUUCAUGAUCCCAGGAUGGUCUGACUGGGCCCGAAGCCACACCACCAAGCUGUGAUCUUGGCAAAACCCACAAGAGUGGUGUGAAGAUGCAAGAAAGCGCUACCAUGCUGUUUUGCAAGACAGGACGCGCUUCAUGGGUUCCAAACCAUCUCUAUAUGGGCUUUGUAAGAUCAGCUGAUUCCCUCCGAGCUAAAAAACACUGAGGAGAUGCCAAGUCA